ACAAACGAUCAGUUGCCAAGACACUUUUUUUUUUAUCUCAACCAUACAGAAGAACAUUCAGUGCUUAAAGAUAAAGUACAAACCAUAAGUUCACUGCCAAAAAAUAUUGAAAUCUCACUUUACACACCCAGUGGCUGAUUAAGAAGCGCAUUCACCAAUGCCGAUCCCUGCUCUGAUUGAGGAGAACGAAGCUAACCCACGCCCCCUCUGACACGUGGGCAGCACGCCGCGCCACCAAUCAGCCAGCAGAGGUCGUAAUUGCACCAGUCAUGGGAGAGAGACCCCAUCCGGCUUAGUCCCGCCCAUCUGAACAACAGGCCAAUCGUUGUUCAUGUGGCCACUCAGCCUCAGCCGACAGGCCCUAGAACAUACAGUGCAUCUUUUAGUAUGAAAUAAAAAAUUCCACAUUUAUUUUAAAUCUUUAUUUUUUUACCCAAAUUA